UGGCUAUAUUGUUCUUUGAUCCUUUGAUGUACUUUGGUUUUAAUCGGUUUAUGUAAUGCUUCUAUUUGUUAGGGUUUCAGUUCUUUUUCGUUUCCUUCUCUUUUGUUGUUUGGUAUUAUUUCUUCGAAUCGUCGAUUUUUCUCUUUAGGUCGUGGAGAAUCUCCUGUUUCCAUUAGGGUUUACAUUUGGCAUUUCACAUAUGCUGGUCUUGCUCGAUGAUAUAAAGGUGUUCGUUUGGUUUUGUGGGUUCUUCUACCCAUCCCCCUCUAGUAUUAGAAGCUAUUUGGUUAUGUAGUUGUGAUGGCACAUUUGGGUGAUUAAAUCGUAUUGGGUCUAUGAGGCGUUGCGGCUCAGCUUAUUUACUUGCAGCAUUCAUCAGUAUUGUUUUGUGUACACCUGCAAAAUGCGGUUGAUACUUUAUGCCUAUGUUUUCUUUCGUUAGCAUUAUACAUAUCAUGCUUAGUGGCUGUGUGGGCAUGUAUGUUCUUACCUUGUAUGAUUGUUAAUGGUAAUGUUGUUGGGAUUUCGCUCCUUCUGGGCCAUCAAUGUUUUUUCUGUUCAUCAUUACUUGAGUAGUUGAUAUGGUAAAUAUUCAAUCUUGAAUUUUUUUUUCCGUCUUUUUGUUUUUUUUUUUUUCCUGGGCUUGUUGGUUGUUGGUGGGCUUUCAGGUUAUUACUUUCCAGGGCAUCCAAUUUCUCUGGAGAUUACUAAUCCACCUAGGAUUGAGCCCAGCCAAAUUAUAUGCCUGUUUUUUGCCUUCACUUCAGUACAUUAUCAUUAAGUUUGUUACAGUAGUGUUUUUUCUUGGUGAAUAAUAAUUUUUUUGGUGAAUAUGUUAGUUCAUGCGUGUUUGGGUGAGUUGCCUAGCUUUAUUGCUUUAAUGAAACAGAUUUUCUUUAUUUCAUAUAUGCUGGUUGAAGAUUCUUGUAAAGAAGCAGUCAAUUUAAAUGAAAAGAAAAUGGAACAAUCUUAUAGCUGGUCUGUGAUCAAUAUUGGCAAUCAAAACUUUUAAGAGGACAACCUUACCCUCAUGGUAUUUCAUUACAGCCUCAAGUACCUUACAAUUCUUGAUUACCAUUAUGCAUUUAAUUUAGCAGGUUAUCCCAUCUCCAGCAGGCAGAAAAUUAGCAGAGUUUACAAUAAGCUCCUGUUGGUCUGCCCCACACCCCCUCCUGAAACGGAAGGAAAUACCUAUGGUUUAGGACAUAAUGAAGUCUAAUACUAAUUGAUAUUCAACAGUUACCCCAGUUCAAUUGGUAAUUUCUGAAAGCAACAAUGGCAUAUGAUUAAUUUUCCAUGUUGAAUACUGUUAUUCACAUGUUGGCAUUUGGAAAAUAAUGAAACCUAAAUUUCACCAUUUGCAAAGUUCCACAAUAAUACUUUAUCCUAAAUAUUAAAAAACAUACAGCAGGGAGAAAAUUAGCAGAAUUUACAAUAAGCUCCUGUUGGUCUGCCCCACCCCCCCUCCUGAAACAGAGAAGGAAAUACCUAUGGUUUAGGACAUAAUGAAGUCUAAUACUAAUUGAUAUUCAACAGUUACCCCAGUUCAAUUGAUAAUUUCUGAAAGCAACAAUGGCACAUGAUUAAUUUUCCAUGUUGAAUAGUGUUAUUCACCUGUUGGUAUUUGUAUUGAUGAGUUAAUCUAAUAUUUGUCUUGGUUAUGUAUUAACUUCAGUAAUGUAUGUUUUUUAAUAAUUAGGAUAAAGUAUUAUUGUGCAACUUUGCAAAUGGUGAAAUUUAGGUUUCAUUAUUUUCCAAUAUCUAUGUUCCUACAAUUUGUAUGCAAGUAUGUGUAUGGUGCUACAAUUAGUUUCUUGGGCGGAUAUGCAAUAUUGGAUGUUAGUUUACAAAAUCACUGGUUUUGAUUUGUGGGUUUUUUUUGAACUUUCAUCUGAGAAUUUUUUAUGCUUGGUCACAAUUUAAAAAUUUCCCAACAUCUAAAUCUGUAUUUUUAAUUCUAUAUGGAUCAGCAUGUUACAGUAGAACAAGAAGUUUGUAACAUGUGGGUGGAUUCUAAGGAAGAGUAGUAUGGUCCUGCAUUUUAUUUUAUUAAUAAGCAGAUAAGGUUUGCUGGUAUAAAUUGGUUGAUAGGGUUUUGAGCUGCAUUUAUGGGCAGAAUUGCAGUGUGUGUUUUAUCUAGGUAUUCAUACAAUAUGAUGAGUAGAUAGACCCCAUUUGUUUUUUUUUGCCCCCAUGUGAAUGAUGAUCUUCAAGGAUUUAAACUUUAUAUAACUUUGUCUUUUCAAAUGUCAUCUAAUAUUAAUCCUUUGGCAUGUUGUAAUGUAGUAUUAUUGACUCUUUUAGCAGCUACUAGAUGCGCUUAACGCUGUCUAUGCCUGAUGCCUUGGUUUUUGAGAUAAUUUUUUUUUCAUAUGGUUCGCAAUUAUUGCUUUGGAAUUCCAACGUUCUUUUGCCUUUUGAUAAAGUUAUAAGCUUAUUCUGACAUGGUUUGAUGCC